UGUGUAUUUAUUUUGUUGCUUAAGGACAAGCAACGAAUUAAGUGUGGGGGAGUUUGAUCUACUACAAUUCAUUGUGGCAAAUUAGAGUCUUUUUGACACUUAACGAGCUUAUUUUCUAGCUCGUUUACAUGUUUUUAUUACAUUUUUUUGUUUUUUAUUAGUUUUAGAUUUAUUUUCGCAAAAUAAGCAUUUUUAUGAACUUUUUAGCCAUUUGAUGAC
rnacentral:lncRNA from 1 species